rnacentral:rRNA from 1 species
CUGGGCCUCGGGGCGCAGCAGUGAGGAAUAUUGGUCAAUGGGCGGAAGCCUGAACCAGCCAAGUCGCGUGAGGGAAGAAGGCCCUGCGGGUCGCAGACCUCUUUGGACGGGGAGCAAGGCCGCCGACGUGUCGGCGGAAGGAGAGUACCCGUAGAACAAGCAUCGGCUAACUCCGUGCCAGCAGCCGCGGUAAUACGGAGGAUGCGAGCGUUAUCCGGAUUUAUUGGUUUUAAAGGGUGCGUAGGCGGAAUAUCAAGUCAGCGGUAAAAAUUCGGGGCUCAACCCCGUCGUGCCGUUGAAACUGU